rnacentral:rRNA from 1 species
GGGUCAGUAGAUUGGUCGUGCCACUGGUAUGUACUGGUCUUACUGGCUCCUCCUUCCUGAUGAACCGUAAUGCCAUUAAUUUGGUGUUGCGGGGAGACUGGACUGUUACUUUGAAAAAAUUAGAGUGUUUAAAGCAGGCUAACGCUUGAAUACAUUAGCAUGGAAUAAUGAAAUAGGACG